UACAUUUUAGUGUAUGACGCACAGAAAUUUUUGAUUUUUCAAGAUAUAGUUUGAUUCUAUUAAAUGUAA
rnacentral:tRNA from 1 species